UGCAUAAGCUGCCGUAUGUUACUGUCAAAAAAUGAACGAAAAGCCUGUCAAAUGCAUAACGAACGCAGAGUAGACAUUUGAAUGACUAUAAUGUGCUUACAUGCAUAAGAAGAAAGUGUCAAUAAGCAAUUUGUGUUUUGGUUUUGUUUCGUUUGAAUUUUGCAAAAAUGAACAGAAAGUUAAAAUAUUUAAAAACAAUAAAAAUCCUUACGUCUGUUUUAGACGGAAUACGCAUAUUGACAGAAAUUAGUGAAAUUACAAAAAACAGAGUUCGGUCGUGUUCAGUGAGGGAAAUAAACAGAAAGAGGAAGAAGGAUGGUUUCUUUGUACGAUUCCUGGAAAUGAAGAGGAUUGACCACGCUGAUUUUUUUAUAUACACGCGAAUGACGCCACAAGUAUAUGGGCUUUUGCUUACUCUUGUUGAGCCCUUUUUAAAAAAAGAAUUCGUUGAGGGAGCCUGUGCAACCGGAAUGUCGAUUAGCUUUGACAUUACAAUAUUUGUCACAAGGAACUUCGUUUCAAUCGUUGGCAUGGUCAUUUCAACUGGGGAAGGAAACGGCUAGGCGCAUUAUUCUGGAGACAGCUGAAGUCCUUUGGACAAAGUUAGGCGCUGUUUAUGUAUCUGAGCCUAAUGAAGAAGAUUUCAAGCAAAUUUCUCAAGACUUCUGGGAACUGUGGAAUAUGCCCAACUGUGUUGGAUCUAUUGAUGGGAAGCAUAUCGCUAUUCGAUGCCCACCUAAAAGCGGUAGUCAAUUUUUCUGCUACAAAAAUUUUUUUUCUAUUGUAUUGUUAGCAGUGUGUGAUGCCCGAUAUCGGUUUACCUAUAUAGAUAUUGGUGCAUAUGGAAGUCAGAGUGAUGGUGGUAUUUUUCAAGUGAGUCGAGUGGGAAAGAG